rnacentral:rRNA from 1 species
GGCAGGCCUAACACAUGCAAGUCGAACGGUAACAGGAAGAAGCUUGCUUCUUUGCUGACGAGUGGCGGACGGGUGAGUAAUGUCUGGGAAACUGCCUGAUGGAGGGGGAUAACUACUGGAAACGGUAGCUAAUACCGCAUAACGUCGCAAGACCAAAGAGGGGGACCUUCGGGCCUCUUGCCAUCGGAUGUGCCCAGAUGGGAUUAGCUUGUUGGUGGGGUAACGGCUCACCAAGGCGACGAUCCCUAGCUGGUCUGAGAGGAUGACCAGCCACACUGGAACUGAGACACGGUCCAGACUCCUACGGGAGGCAGCAGUGGGGAAUAUUGCACAAUGGGCGCAAGCCUGAUGCAGCCAUGCCGCGUGUAUGAAGAAGGCCUUCGGGUUGUAAAGUACUUUCAGCGGGGAGGAAGGGAGUAAAGUUAAUACCUUUGCUCAUUGACGUUACCCGCAGAAGAAGCACCGGCUAACUCCGUGCCAGCAGCCGCGGUAAUACGGAGGGUGCAAGCGUUAAUCGGAAUUACUGGGCGUAAAGCGCACGCAGGCGGUUUGUUAAGUCAGAUGUGAAAUCCCCGGGCUCAACCUGGGAACUGCAUCUGAUACUGGCAAGCUUGAGUCUCGUAGAGGGGGGUAGAAUUCCAGGUGUAGCGGUGAAAUGCGUAGAGAUCUGGAGGAUUACCGGUGGCGAAGGUGGCCCCCUGGACGAAGACUGACGCUCAGGUGCGAAAGCGUGGGGAGCAAACAGGAUUAGAUACCCUGGUAGUCCACGCCGUAAACGAUGUCGACUUGGAGGUUGUGCCCUUGAGGCGUGGCUUCCGGAGCUAACGCGUUAAGUCGACCGCCUGGGGAGUACGGCCGCAAGGUUAAAACUCAAAUGAAUUGACGGGGGCCCGCACAAGCGGUGGAGCAUGUGGUUUAAUUCGAUGCAACGCGAAGAACCUUACCUGGUCUUGACAUCCACGGAAGUUUUCAGAGAUGAGAAUGUGCCUUCGGGAACCGUGAGACAGGUGCUGCAUGGCUGUCGUCAGCUCGUGUUGUGAAAUGUUGGGUUAAGUCCCGCAACGAGCGCAACCCUUAUCCUUUGUUGCCAGCGGUCCGGCCGGGAACUCAAAGGAGACUGCCAGUGAUAAACUGGAGGAAGGUGGGGAUGACGUCAAGUCACCAUGGCCCUUACGACCAGGGCUACACACGUGCUACAAUGGCGCAUACAAAGAGAAGCGACCUCGCGAGAGCAAGCGGACCUCAUAAAGUGCGUCGUAGUCCGGAUUGGAGUCUGCAACUCGACUCCAUGAAGUCGGAAUCGCUAGUAAUCGUGGAUCAGAAUGCCACGGUGAAUACGUUCCCGGGCCUUGUACACACCGCCCGUCACACCAUGGGAGUGGGUUGCAAAAGAAGUAGGUAGCUUAACCUUCGGGAGGGCGCUUACCACUUUGUGAUUCAUGACUGGGGUGAAG